rnacentral:lncRNA from 1 species
CGGCUGCUCUAAAGUCUGCCCUCUGGACUCUCUGCCAUUAAAUGCAAGAGGUAAUUUGGGGUGACUCAUGAAAUAGUGACUAUGUGUUCAUUGAUAAAGACAGGACUUCAGUCUCAGAAGUUCAUCAUGAUCUCAAUCAUUGUCAUCAUUCCAGCAUCUGAGAAUUAGUGGAGUGUGGGAUAUGACUAACUGAAGACUGUAAGGGCUUCAGUCAUCCAGGAAACUUGGAGAAGGUAAAAAUAGAAUCUAUGAAUCUAAAUGGUAAAGAGGUAAAAUCUGGAACAUUUUGAGCACAGCACACAACAUAGCCAUGUAAGAAUAAAUCUCCUAAAUAUUAUUUUGCCUGAGAAGGUGCCAAUGCAAUUUUCUGGAUUACUUUUGUUGGAUGUUUCCCACAGGAUGAACUGAAGAUAAGCACGGAUGCAUUGCCUUAUCUCUGCAUCAAGGCAGAAUGUGGUCUCUUGGCCUGUCUGCAUGCUUCAGAUGCUGGCUAAAUGCGUACAUCUGCCUUGGUGGCUUCCUUCAUGGGAAUGGAGGUGGGCAGAAGAAGGAAAUCUUCAGCCCGAUCCGCCAUGAACACAGAUACAGCUAUCUAAAGAAGUGCACAAAUGAGUGGAGAAGGCAUCCUAUAGCCUUUGAAAGCACGAAGUAUGAUUCCACAGGAAAAGGGAGGGUGUACAGUAAUCUCUCCCCACUCAGGAGGACCAACAGUGGAGCUGGACUCCAGGCUGCGAAUAGAUUCACAGAACAAGAGGAAAACAACAAAAAAACCCCAAACAAAUAGGAAAAAAAAAAAUCUGUGUGUAAUAUAUGUGUAUUUGUCAUUAUUUUGUCUAUUGGUUGAAUAACAGAAUGAAAUUGAAGCAUUCUUCUGAAGGUUCUAUUUAGCUUCAAUCCCAUCUUGCGCUUCUGGCAAAUCUAGUCUGCCUCCUGAUGAAGAAUGCUCCAGCAACCAAGGGCUGAGAUGAAACAGAUUCACUCAUUGCCCACAAACCCCCAAAAAUGUGCAUCUGAAAAAAAAAAUAGUGACAGAGACUGAGUCCCAGAGAUAUUCCCCAGGAACUCUACCCAAUCUGUGGCACAAUAUGUGGUCUGACCCAGCUGGGCACCAGGCCGGCCUUGGCUGCCAUCCCUUCUGGCUGGGCUCCUCCCCAAGGUAGGGCUUACCCUCACAUAAAAUUGCCAACCAGGGCCCACGUGGGUAUAGAACUAAUUUAGCCUCCUGUACACUUGAUGAAUGAAGAAUUUCCUCUUGGGACUAAAUUAUAGGGCUUGUCGGAGUUGCUCUUUCGUGAUCUGUUAUUUGGAGGUAAUUUUCCAAAAGGGCUGGAACACAUGGCCAUGAGCUAGAAUAAGAUUCACCGUGCACAGCUGCCACGCGCUGGCCAGCACAUCCCACCGUGCUCGUCCUCUCCGCCAGCCUCCCCCGCCUCCACCCUUGCUUCCCCAGAGAGGAGGCCCAGCCAACAGACCUGGACUUACGUUAGAUCUUUACUUUCCUUCUUAAUCAAAUCACAAGAAUGGCAUCUGCCCACCUUCUUCUGCAUCCGGGUUUCUAGAAGUGUAAUAUCUUGUCCUAACACGCUUAAAAACAGAUGAGCAGGCCUUCCUCUUGUUCCCCAAUGUGGAUGAUUACAACCUUCUGUCAAAUUCCACCUUCCCUCCCUCCCCUGCCGGCUGGAAGAUAAGCUUCUGAUCUUCCCUUGGCUGUUUGAACUGUUGGAAGCUGUGUAAACACAAGCUGCAGGUUAGUCAGAUUCUAUUUGACCCAGGGCCUGCUGAGU